rnacentral:rRNA from 1 species
GACGAACGCUGGCGGCGUGCUUAACACAUGCAAGUCGAACGGAAAGGCCCUGCUUUCUUGGGGUGCCCGAGUGGCGAACGGGUGCGUAACACGAGUGUAACCUGCUCUUGACUUUGGGAUAACUUCAGGAAACUGGGGCUAAUACCGGAUCGCAGACCCCCCUCCAUGGUGGGCGUUGGAAAGUCUCGGCGGUUGGGGAUGGACUAGCGGCUUAUCAGCUAGCUGGUUGGGUAGUGGCUUACCAAGGCAUUGACGGGUAGGCGGCCUGAGAGGGUGACCGGCCACAUUGGGACUGAGAGACGGCGCAGACUCCUACGGGAGACAGCAGGGGGGAGUAUUGCACAAUGAGAGGAAGCCUGAUGCAGCGACGCCGCGUGCGGGAUGACGGCCUGCGGGUUGUAAACCGCUUUCGCCUGUGACGAAGCGUGAGUGACGGUAAUGAGUAAAGAAGCACCGGCUAACUACGUG